rnacentral:rRNA from 1 species
UACGAAGGGGGGCUAGCGUUGCUCGGAUUGACUGGGCGUAAAGGGCGCGUAGGCGGUUCGUACAGUCAGACGUGAAAUUCCUGGGCUCAACCUGGGGGCUGCGUUUGAUACGUGCGGACUUGAGUGCGGAAGAGGGUCGUGGAAUUCCCAGUGUAGAGGUGAAAUUCGUAGAUAUUGGGAAGAACACCGGUGGCGAAGGCGGCGACCUGGUUCGAUACUGACGCUGAGGCGCGAAAGCGUGGGGAGCAAACAGG